rnacentral:pre_miRNA from 1 species
CUUCCGCAGGCUGGCCGUCCCCAGGCCGGGCAGGGUGAGGAUCUCUUGGAAAGGCUCACCCUCGAGCGUGUCUAGGAGC